rnacentral:rRNA from 1 species
UACGUAGGGUGCAAGCGUUGUCCGGAAUUAUUGGGCGUAAAGAGCUUGUAGGCGGUCUGUCGCGUCUGCUGUGAAAAUCCGGGGCUCAACCCCGGACUUGCAGUGGGUACGGGCAGACUAGAGUGUGGUAGGGGAGACUGGAAUUCCUGGUGUAGCGGUGAAAUGCGCAGAUAUCAGGAGGAACACCGAUGGCGAAGGCAGGUCUCUGGGCCACUACUGACGCUGAGAAGCGAAAGCAUGGGGGAGCGAACAGG